rnacentral:rRNA from 1 species
CCUACGGGAGGCAGCAGUAGGGAAUAUUGCACAAUGGGGGAAACCCUGAUGCAGCGACGCCGCGUGGGUGAGGAAGUAUUUCGGUAUGUAAAGCUCUAUCAGCAGAGAAGAAAAUGACGGUAUCUGACUAAUAAGCCCCGGCUAACUACGUGCCAGCAGCCGCGGUAAUACGUAGGGGGCAAGCGUUACCCGGAUUUACUGGGUGUAAAGGGAGCGUAGGCGGGCAGUCAAGUCAGAAGUGAAAGCCCAUGGCUCAACCUUGGGACUGCAUUUGAAACUGAGUAGCUAGAGUGCAGGAGAGGUAAGCGGAAUUCUUAGUGUAGCGGUGAAAUGCGUAGAUAUUAGGAGGAACACCCGUGGCGAAGGCGACCUACUGGAAUGUAACUGACGUUGAUGCUCGAAAGCGUGGGGAGCAAACAGGAUUAGAUACCCCAGUAGUC